AAAAGUACCCCGGGAGGGGAGUGAAAUAGUACCUGAAACCGUGUGCUUACAAACCGUGGGAGCCUCCUUAGCAGGGGUGACCGCGUGCCUUUUGAAGAAUGAGCCUGCGAGUUAGUGCUCAGUGGCGAGGUUAACCCGUGUGGGGAAGCCGUAGCGAAAGCGAGUCCGAAUAGGGCGCAUGAGUCGCUGGGUCUAGACCCGAAGCGGAGUGAUCUACCCAUGGCCAGGUUGAAGCGCGGGUAAGACCGCGUGGAGGACCGAACCCACCUAGGUUGAAAACUGGGGGGAUGAGCUGUGGGUAGGGGUGAAAGGCCAAUCAAACUCCGUGAUAGCUGGUUCUCCCCGAAAUGCAUUUAGGUGCAGCGUCACGCGUUCCUUGCCGGAGGUAGAGCUACUGGAUGGCCGAUGGGCCUCACCAGGUUACUGACGUCAGCCAAACUCCGAAUGCCGGCAAGCCAGAGCGUGGCAGUGAGACUGCGGGGGAUAAGCUCCGUAGUCGAGAGGGAAACAGCCCAGACCACCAGCUAAGGCCCCUAAGCGUGUGCUAAGUGGGAAAGGAUGUGGAGUUGCACAGACAACCAGGAGGUUGGCUUAGAAGCAGCCACCCUUGAAAGAGUGCGUAAUAGCUCACUGGUCAAGUGAUUCCGCGCCGACAAUGUAGCGGGGCUCAAGUACACCGCCGAAGCUGUGGCAUUCACACAUUUGCUAGGCCUUCGUGGUCCAGGCGUGUGGAUGGGUAGGGGAGCGUCGUGUGGGCGUUGAAGCCGCGGGGGAACCCAGUGGUGGAGCCUACACGAGUGAGAAUGCAGGCAUGAGUAGCGAAUGACGGGUGAGAAUCCCGUCCGCCGAAUGACCAAGGGUUCCAGGGCCAGGUUCAUCCUCCCUGGGUUAGUCGGGACCUAAGGCGAGGCCGACAGGCGUAGUCGAUGGACAACGGGUUGAUAUUCCCGUACCGGCGAAGAGCCGCCAAGAUCGAAUCCGGUGAUGCUAAACGCCCGAUCCGGCACCAUGUUCCCUUCGGGGGACCGGUGCUCCGGUGAGGCCGUGAACCAAUCCGGUAGUAGGUCAGCGCGAGGGGUGACGCAGGAAGGUAGUCGAAGCACGGCGAUGGUAGACCGUGUCCAAGGCUGUAGGGCGAACGGUAGGCAAAUCCGCCGUUCAUGUGCCUGAGAGCUGACGGGGACCGUAAAGGGAAGUCGAUGAUCCUAUGCUGCCUAGAAAAACCUCGGCGCGAGGCUUGAGCCGCCCGUACCCUAAACCGACUCAGGUGGUCAGGUAGAGAAUACUAAGGCGACGAGAGAAUCGUGGUUAAGGAACUCGGCAAAAUGCCCCCGUAACUUCGGGAGAAGGGGGGCCUGAGGCGUGAACCUGCUUGCCAGGGGAGCGUUUGAGGGCCGCAGAGACCAGGGGGAAGCGACUGUUUACUAAAAACACAGGUCCGUGCGAAGUCGCAAGACGAUGUAUACGGACUGACGCCUGCCCGGUGCUGGAAGGUUAAGAGGACCGGUUAGCUCUUCGGAGCGAAGCUGAGAAUUUAAGCCCCAGUAAACGGCGGUGGUAACUAUAACCAUCCUAAGGUAGCGAAAUUCCUUGUCGGGUAAGUUCCGACCUGCACGAAUGGCGUAACGACUUCCCCGCUGUCUCAACCGCGAACUCGGCGAAAUUGCAGUACGAGUAAAGAUGCUCGUUACGCGCAGCAGGACGGAAAGACCCCGGGACCUUUACUAUAGCUUGGUAUUGGUGUUCGGUGCGGCUUGUGUAGGAUAGGUGGGAGACUGUGAAGCCGGCACGCCAGUGUCGGUGGAGUCAUCGUUGAAAUACCACUCUGGUCGCUCUGGAUACCUAACCUCGGUCCGUGAUCCGGAUCAGGGACAGUGCCUGGUGGGUAGUUUAACUGGGGCGGUUGCCUCCUAAAAUGUAACGGAGGCGCUCAAAGGUUCCCUCAGCCUGGUUGGCAAUCAGGUGUCGAGUGCAAGUGCACAAGGGAGCUUGACUGUGAGACUGACAGGUCGAGCAGGGACGAAAGUCGGAACUAGUGAUCCGGCGGUGGCUUGUGGAAGCGCCGUCGCUCAACGGAUAAAAGGUACCCCGGGGAUAACAGGCUGAUCUUGCCCAAGAGUCCAUAUCGACGGCAUGGUUUGGCACCUCGAUGUCGGCUCGUCGCAUCCUGGGGCUGGAGUAGGUCCCAAGGGUUGGGCUGUUCGCCCAUUAAAGCGGUACGCGAGCUGGGUUUAGAACGUCGUGAGACAGUUCGGUCCCUAUCCGCUGCGCGCGUUGGAAAUUUGAGAAGACCUGUCCCUAGUACGAGAGGACCGGGACGGACUAACCUCUGGUGUGCCAGUUGUUCCGCCAGGAGCACGGCUGGUU
rnacentral:rRNA from 1 species